rnacentral:rRNA from 1 species
UACGAAGGGGGCUAGCGUUGCUCGGAAUCACUGGGCGUAAAGCGCACGUAGGCGGCUUCUUAAGUCAGGGGUGAAAUCCUGGAGCUCAACUCCAGAACUGCCUUUGAUACUGGGAAGCUCGAGUCCGGGAGAGGUGAGUGGAACUCCGAGUGUAGAGGUGAAAUUCGUAGAUAUUCGGAAGAACACCAGUGGCGAAGGCGGCUCACUGGCCCGGUACUGACGCUCAGGAGCGAAAGCGUGGGGAGCAAACAGG